rnacentral:rRNA from 1 species
AUCACCUCCAGCAUUCCCAGUAUUGGAGGCAUUGCCUGCCCAGUGACAACUGUUUAACGGCCGCGGUAUCCUGACCGUGCAAAGGUAGCAUAAUCAUUUGUUCUCUAAAUAAGGACUUGUAUGAAUGGCCGCACGAGGGUUUUACUGUCUCUUACUUCCAAUCAGUGAAAUUGACCUUCCCGUGAAGAGGCGGGAAUGCACAAAUAAGACGAGAAGACCCUAUGGAGCUUUAACUAACCAACCCAAAGAGAAUAAAUUUAACCAUUAAGGAAUAACAACAAUCUCCAUGAGUUGGUAGUUUCGGUUGGGGUGACCUCGGAGAAUAAAAAAUCCUCCGAGCGAUUUUAAAGACUAGACCCACAAGUCAAAUCACUCUAUCGCUCAUUGAUCCAAAAACUUGAUCAACGGAACAAGUUACCCUAGGGAUAACAGCGCAAUCCUAUUCAAGAGUCCAUAUCGACAAUAGGGUUUACGACCUCGAUGUUGGAUCAGGACAUCCUGAUGGUGCAACCGCUAUCAAAGGUUCGUAUUGUUCAACG